rnacentral:rRNA from 1 species
AGCAGCCGCGGUAAUUCCAGCUCCAAUAGCGUAUAUUAAAGUUGUUGCAGUUAAAAAGCUCGUAGUUGAAUUUCGGGGUUAGUAGGUUGGUCAUGCCUCUGGUAUGUACUAGUCUCACUGAUUCCUCCUUCCUUAUGAACCGUAAUGCCAUUAAUUUGGUGUUGCGGGAAAUUUGGACUGUUACUUUGAAAAAUUAGAGUGUUUAAAGCAAGCUAACGCUUGAAUACAUUAGCAUGGAAUAAUGAAAUAGGACGUUCGAUCUUAUUUUGUUGGUUUCUAGGAUUGACGUAAUGAUUAAUAGGGAUAGUUGGGGGCAUUAGUAUUCAAUUGUCAGAGGUGAAAUUCUUGGAUUUAUUGAAGACUAACUACUGCGAAAGCAUUUGCCAAGGAUGUUUUCAUUAAUCAAGAACGAAAGUUAGGGGAUCGAAGACGAUCAGAUACCGUCGUAGUCUUAACCAUAAACUAUGCCGACUAGGGAUCGGAUGAUGUUAAUUUUUAAUGACUCAUUCGGCGCCUUACG